AGUGAACGCUGGCGGUAGGCCUAACACAUGCAAGUCGAACGGCAGCACAGUAAGAGCUUGCUCUUACGGGUGGCGAGUGGCGGACGGGUGAGGAAUACAUCGGAAUCUACUUUUUCGUGGGGGAUAACGUAGGGAAACUUACGCUAAUACCGCAUACGACCUACGGGUGAAAGCAGGGGAUCUUCGGGCCUUGCGCGAUUGAAUGAGCCGAUGUCGGAUUAGCUAGUUGGCGGGGUAAAGGCCCACCAAGGCGACGAUCCGUAGCUGGUCUGAGAGGAUGAUCAGCCACACUGGAACUGAGACACGGUCCAGACUCCUACGGGAGGCAGCAGUGGGGAAUAUUGGACAAUGGGCGCAAGCCUGAUCCAGCCAUACCGCGUGGGUGAAGAAGGCCUUCGGGUUGUAAAGCCCUUUUGCUGGGAAAGAAAAGCAGCAGGUUAAUACCCCGCUGUUCUGACGGUACCCAAAGAAUAAGCACCGGCUAACUUCGUG
rnacentral:rRNA from 1 species